rnacentral:lncRNA from 1 species
UACGAUCGGGUUGAAUAUGUGUUCACUAGGGUUCCUAAAUCAACUCUCUUAUGUUUCUAGCAAUCCUAACUCAAUAGAAUUUAGUUCAGAGAAAAGACCAAGCGUUAGCAAUUGUGCCUAAUGAUUCUAAGAUCAUGGUUCUAGUUCAUGACUCUAGAACACAAGCAGUAAGAACAAUCUUAUGAUGAAUAUCACAACUUAGCAGUUCUAUAUUUUGGGCUAAUCCCUCAUAACCUAUCUGAACCGUAAACCUAACAAAUGGAUCUAUUCAGACAUGAAGUUUGUCACAGAAAUCAUAAGAUGAACAGAUAAUAAAACUGCAAUAGAAUAAAUAUAAAAACCAAAGGAGUUCCAGGAGGACUCUGAAGCAGUUCCUCCUUUCUCUCCUGACUUAGAACUAUGAAUUAAAGAAGGAUUAGAUAGCGUGUCGCCGUCAA